GAUGAAGAACGCAGCGAAAUGCGAUAAGUAAUGUGAAUUGCAGAAUUCAGUGAAUCAUCGAGUCUUUGAACGCACAUUGCGCCCCCUGGUAUUCCGGGGGGCAUGCCUGUCCGAGCGUCAUUGCCGCCCUCAAGCACGGCUUGUGUGUUGGGCCCCCGCCCCCCGGCUUCGGGGGGCGGGCCCGAAAGGCAGCGGCGGCACCGCGUCCGGUCCUCGAGCGUAUGGGGCUUCGUCACCCGCUCUGUAGGCCCGGCCGGCGCCCGCCGGCGACCCCAAUCAAUCUUUCCAGGUUGACCUCGGAUCAGGUAGGGAUACCAGCUGAACUUAAGCAUAUCAAUAAGCGGAGGA
rnacentral:misc_RNA from 1 species